GACGAACGCUGGCGGCGUGCUUAACACAUGCAAGUCGAACGGUGAAGCGCCUUCCUUUUUGGUGGGUGUGGAUGAGUGGCGAACGGGUGAGUAACACGUGAGUAACCUGCUCCCUUCUUCUGGAUAACCGCAUGAAAGUGUGGCUAAUACGGGAUAUUCUGGGUCUGUUGCAUGAUGGGUCUGGGAAAGAUAUUGUUUCGGUGGGGGAUGGGCUCGCGGCCUAUCAGCUUGUUGGUGGGGUGAUGGCCUACCAAGGCGGUGACGGGUAGCCGGCCUGAGAGGGUGGACGGCCGCACUGGGACUGGGACACAGUGCGGACUCCUACGGGAGGCAGCAGCGGGGGAUAGUGGACGAUGGGCGCAAGGCUGAAGCGGCGACGGCGCGUGGGAGAUGGAGGCCGUCGGGUUGUGAACCUCUUUGGUCAGUGACGCCGGCCUGCCUGGUCUGUGGGUGGGUUGACGGUAGCUGGAGAAGAAGCGCCGGCUAACUACGUG
rnacentral:rRNA from 1 species